AUGUGAUCGUCUCUCGCAUAUCAAUAAGCGGAGGAAAAGAAACUAACAAGGAUUCCCCUAGUAACGGCGAGUGAAGCGGGAAGAGCUCAAAUUUGAAAUCUUAAAGGGUUUCCCUUUACGAAUUGUAGUUUAAAGAAGUGUUUUCUGUUGAGGUUUUGGUAAAAGUUCUUUGGAAUAGGACAUCAUAGAGGGUGAGAAUCCCGUAUUUGACCCUUACUUUCAACUUUGUGAUACACUUUCAAAGAGUCGGAUUGUUUGGGAAUACAGUCCAAAAUGGGUGGUAAAUUUCAUCUAAAGCUAAAUAUUGGCGAGAGACCGAUAGCGAACAAGUACCGUGAGGGAAAGAUGAAAAGAACUUUGAAAAGAGAGUUAAACAGUACGUGAAAUUGUCAAAAGGGAAGCGUUUGACACCAGUGUUGUUUUUCUGAAAAUCAAUUAAAGAACUGUUUAUGCUAAGCUGUUUAGACUUUAUCAGCUAUCUGUUUAGUUUUGAGCUUUUCUUUAAUGCACUUUUCAGUUAACAAGUCAACAUCGAUUUCUUUUGCUGUAAAAAAGCUUGAGGAAGGUGGCUUGAGAUUCGUCUUAAGUGUUUAUAGCCUCUUGCCUAUGCAGUCGGAGAGAUUGAGGUCUGCAGCGUAGAUCCUUCGGGGCUAAAUGCAUUUGUGCUAAGUUAUAGCAUUUUAUAGACAACUUGUUGACUAUGAUUUGUCUUGUAGCUUACUCGCUUAUGUUAUUUUACCUACGCUUAGGAUGUUGAAGAUAUGCGCGACACG
rnacentral:rRNA from 1 species